rnacentral:rRNA from 1 species
CUGCAGCUCAAGUGGUGACCGUUAUUAUUGGGCCUAACACGUCCGUAGCCUGUCUAUUAAAUGCCUGGGUAAAUCGUGUAGCUUAACUAUACGAAUUCCGGGUAGACUGAUAGGCUUGAGACCGGGAGAGGCUAGAGGUACUCCUGGGGUAGAGGUGAAAUUCUGUAAUCCUGGGGGGACCACCAGUGGCGAAGGCGUCUAGCUAGAACGGGUCUGACGGUGAGGGACGAAGCCCUGGGGCGCAAACCGGAUUAGAUACCCGAGUAGUCC